UACGUAGGUGGCAAGCGUUGUCCGGAAUUAUUGGGCGUAAAGCGCGCGCAGGCGGUCCUUUAAGUCUGAUGUGAAAGCCCACGGCUCAACCGUGGAGGGUCAUUGGAAACUGGGGGACUUGAGUACAGAAGAGAAGAGUGGAAUUCCACGUGUAGCGGUGAAAUGCGCAGAUAUCAGGAAGAACACCCGUGGCUAAGGCGGCUCUCUAGUACGGUACUGACGCUGAGACGCGAAAGCGUGGGGAGCGAACAGG
rnacentral:rRNA from 1 species